rnacentral:rRNA from 1 species
UUGAACGCUGGCGGCAUGCUUUACACAUGCAAGUCGAACGGCAGCGGGGGCUUCGGCCUGCCGGCGAGUGGCGAACGGGUGAGUAAUGCAUCGGAACGUACCCAGUCGUGGGGGAUAACUACGCGAAAGCGUAGCUAAUACCGCAUACGAUCUACGGAUGAAAGCGGGGGAUCGCAAGACCUCGCGCGGACGGAGCGGCCGAUGGCAGAUUAGGUAGUUGGUGGGAUAAAAGCUUACCAAGCCGACGAUCUGUAGCUGGGCUGAGAGGACGACCAGCCACACUGGGACUGAGACACGGCCCAGACUCCUACGGGAGGCAGCAGUGGGGAAUUUUGGACAAUGGGCGAAAGCCUGAUCCAGCCAUGCCGCGUGCAGGAUGAAGGCCUUCGGGUUGUAAAGCUCUUUCAGACGGAAAGAAAUCGGGCGCGUGAAUAGCGUGCCUGGAUGACGGUACUGUCAGAAGAAGCACCGGCUAACUACGU